UACGGAGGGUGCAAGCGUUGUUCGGAAUUACUGGGCGUAAAGCGCGUGUAGGCGGUCUAGCAAGUCAGAUGUGAAAUCCCUUGGAUCAACCAAGGAAGGGCAUUUGAAACUGCUAGACUUGAGUACGGGAGGGGGAAGCGGAAUUCCCGGUGUAGAGGUGAAAUUCGUAGAUAUCGGGAGGAACACCGGUGGCGAAGGCGGCUUCCUGGACCGAUACUGACGCUGAGACGCGAAAGCGUGGGGAGCAAACAGG
rnacentral:rRNA from 1 species